rnacentral:rRNA from 1 species
CGAGAAUCUUCGGCAAUGGGCGCAAGCCUGACCGAGCGAUGCCGCGUGCGGGAUGAAGGCCUUCGGGUUGUAAACCGCUGUCGAGGGGGAGCAACUUCCAUAGAGUUAUCUUUAUGGAUUGAGUGAUCCCUGGAGGAAGGACGGGCUAAGUUCGUGCCAGCAGCCGCGGUAAGACGAACCGUCCAAACGUUAUUCGGUAUCACUGGGCUUAAAGAGUUCGUAGGCGGCUAAAACAGGUGAGGUGUGAAAGCCCUCGGCUCAACCGAGGAACUGCGCUUCAAACCGUUUAGCUAGAGGAAGACAGAGGUGAGCGGAACUGAUGGUGGAGCGGUGAAAUGCGUUGAUAUCAUCAGGAACACCGGUGGCGAAAGCGGCUCACUGGGUCUUUUCUGACGCUGAGGAACGAAAGCUAGGGGAGCGAACGGGAUUAGAUACCCCGGUAGUCCUAGCCGUAAACGAUGAGCACUAGACUGUGGGGACCCUCACAUCCUCUCGGUCGUAGCGAAAGUGUUAAGUGCUCCGCCUGGGGAGU